AUAAAAGCUGGCUUGCCUGCGAAGGCAUCGGCUGGGUCUGCCUGAAGGAUUGAGGUGUCUGCAUCGCAGGCAAGCCAGCUCCCAC
rnacentral:misc_RNA from 1 species